rnacentral:lncRNA from 1 species
UCGGUAUCUUACCCUUAAGCUCAAAGCCUCCAGUAUCUUGACUCCUUCAUUAAUGUUAACCUCCUUCUCGAACCUUUCAAUAAGGUCCUUCACCAGGGCACACUCCGUGUAUUCCUCGAGGGCACUAUCUGAGAUAGGCUCGAAACCUGAAUCCACGACGCGAUAACAACCCUGAGCACGAUCUUCAUAUUUCGACUUCGUAUGAGGCGUUGAGGUCGGGCUCCUUGACAUCGAGGGUUGACCCCUAGGAGGCGUCGGGCUCUCAAGAUCCAUUUCAGGCACCCUAACAAUGGCGUGCUUGGCCAUCUUCAUCCCCUUUUUUGAGGUCGGGGCUUUAGACAUCGGCCCCUUGGCCUUAUAAUGGACAUUGGCCAGCAAUUUGGAAGGAACAAAAGACAUCUCUAGAUCUGCAAGAAACAAAUCACAAGGCAUUAGCAUGAUCUCAACGUCAAGAAUACGACGAUAGAGCUUAAAAAGUAAAAGACAUACCCUCGAGGCCUUUUACAUUUGUGAGGUCGAGGGUGUCAUCCUCGAGCAAAUAAUCGAUCUUCUCUGCCAAGGGGUCGUGGUUAACUAACCUUAAUCUGUCACUCUCUAGAACCUCAAAAUACGCCUGACCCUCAUUUAACCUAUCCUUACUAGGGAUCUCCCACCUCGGGCUAAAAGAAUGGUCGGGAUC